ensembl:lncRNA COX10-DT COX10 divergent transcript
UAGUCUUCUACUUUCAGCUUUCCAAUGUCUUCUGAGGCAGAGCAUUGAAUCACUUCUCUUUCUUCUUUUUUAAAUUUUUAUUUGAAUCACUUCUCUAGAGGAAGGCUAGAGGGCUCCUCAUUCACAAGUCUACAAUUCUUAUUCAUUUUGCUGACUAAUAUGAAGCGGACUCUGUUCCCCAUUCUUAUAAGACGGGCCAGUUAAUUCUCUUUCCAGGGCCUCUCACAUUCUUCUGUGUGAGGAUAAGGUAGGACAGAAUUUGUUCCCCUUAUUUUAUUAAGUAUUGGUAGAAGUGGUCAAACAAAUGAACAUUUCCAAAUUAUCUUUUUUCUUUUUUUUUUUUUUUUUUGAGACAGAGUCUUGCUCUGUCGCCAGGCUGGAGUGCAGUGGCACAAUCUCAGCUCACUGCAACCUACGACUCCCUGGUUCAAGUGAUUCUCCUCCCUCAGCCUCCCGAGUAGCUAGAAUAACAGGCACACCCAGCUAAUUUUUGUAUUUUUUGUAGAGACAGGGUUUCACCAUGUUGGCCAGGAUGGUCUUGAUCUCCUGACCUUGUGAUCCGCCUGCCUCGUCCUCCCAAAGUUCUGGCAUUAUAGGUAUUAGCCACCAUGCCCAGCCCCAAACUAUCUUAUCUCCAAGACACUCAAUCCUUUUUUUUUUUCCAUUAGUGACUCGUGAUACAGAAGACUCACUCCUUUUACAAAAAGAUAGGAAAAUGUGCAUUUGUGCUUGCAUGCAUUCUUUAGUCAAAGGAAUCCCCUCUGCCCCCACCCAGCCAACAUUUUUUUUACUCUGGUUUUGAAACUAAUAUUGCAUUUUCUACUUUUUUUUCUUUUUAAUAACAAACAUUUAAAUUUAUAAAUAUAUCCCUUUUAUGUGAGAUUCAAACAAUAUAAAAUUGUUUAACAAGAACCCUGACAGCCCCCAUUUAUCUCUGUCACUAUCUCAAUCAUUUUCCCAGUAGUCAUUGCUGUUAACAGGUUGGAUCAUGGUUCUCAGUCCCUUUGCUGUGCACAGUUACACAUACGGGUAUAUAUUACAUCUUUAAAAAACACAGUUAGGGCCCUAGUAUGCAUAUUGUCCUAUAGUUUGCUUUGUUCAUCUGAAAAUAUGUCUUGGUGAUUUUUCCAUUUCAUAUUCCUUUUCAAAGCUCCAUAAUAUUUUAUAGCAAAGAUAUAGAAUGCUCUAUUUCAAGACUACCCUAUUGAUGGACUUUUCUUGUGGUCUAUUUUGUGCUAUUUUCAACAAUUUUUUAAUAAGUAAUCUUAUACACAAAGAUAUAUAGGGUAUAAAAUUUCUAAUUUAUUUUCAGUUUUGACAGAUACUAUAAAUUGCCUUCAGGAAAGUUUCAUCUGUUUAUAGUUCAAGUAACAGCAUAGAGGAGACUCUGAAUCCUUCAAUGAUCACAUCACUUGAUUUUAUAUAAUUUGAAACAUUUUUGCUAAUCUGACAGAAAUUCUUCUUGUAUUUUUCAGAAAACUUAUAAUAAGGUCUUCAUUCUGCAUUCAUUUCCGUAGCAUGAAACCUGUGACCAGACUCCCUCAGUUCAUACCAUGGCUCUGCCACUUAUUUGCUGCAUGAUCCCAGGCACGUUGCUUUACUUUGCUGUGGUUUAGUUCCUCCCCUCUGAACAUGGUGGCAAUAAUGAUACUUUACUCCUAGGGUGGUUGUGAGGACAAAAUUGGUUAACCUGUGUAAAACACUUAGAGCUACAUCUUGCACAUUGUAAAGAUAUGUACAUACUUGUUUUAUUACUAUUCUCUAUAUUUUUUAUUUUCCUGAAUACAAAAAAUGGUUUUGGUAUGUUGUUUUUCUAUUUGGCCAUUUUGUUGAGUUAUCUUAUUUAUUAUAAUAGUUUUUUUUAAAAUGACUUCUCUUAGAUUUCCUUGGUAGAGAAUUGUAAAAAUUAGACAGUUGAGCAGUUGAGGCCAUCCUUUGCAAUAGUUAAAACUCUUUUUUUUUUUUUUUGUCUUAUUACAUUGGCUAAUAUCUCUCGUGGCAAUGAUAAUGGAAAUCCUUGUCUUGUUCCUAAGUAGUAAGACUUCCUCUGAUAUUUCACCAUUAAGCAAGAUGUUUGCUGUAGGAUUUGGUAACUAUGCUUUAGAAGAUGAAGAUAUUUUAUUGUGAUAAAAUGAUAUUAUUAAAGUAUUUUUUUAAUGAGAAAGCAUGAUGAAUUUUAUUAAAUGUUCUCUUUGGCAUCUUUUAAGUUUAGCAUAUAUUUUUUCUCUUUUAAUCAGCCUAUGUGGUGAAUUUUAUUAGUGGAUUGCCCAAUGAUAAAUAAGGUUUCCUUCGUCAGUCCAGGCAGGACUGUGCGGUUGGAAAAGGGACGGAUGCUGGUCCUGGAAGGGGCGUCGUUAUCUAGAAGCUCCCAACCUAAGUGGGUGACUCAUAGGGAGGGCAAGGAGAGAAGGACACAGCAAGCAACUUACAUGUAAAACAAGACGUGUGGGUUAUUAUGGAAGAAAUUCACAACCAAACUUGGGGUUAGCCCGUAUUGUUUUCCAAGAACUCUAUGUGGACAGUGACAAAAAACAGACCUAAGAACUAGCAGACUGGGCAAAGCUUUUUCACAUAACAACAACAAAAAAAGCAAUUCCUCAGGAAAAAAUGGUCAAUGGGUCAUUGUGUGUAGACAAAACUACAAGUUCUGCUCCAGACUCUGGGGAAACCAUGCUGCCAUCUUCAAGCUGUGGCCAUUCUGUAAUACAGACUACGCUAAAUCACAUGUUGUCAUCAAGGCAGAAUAUUUUGUUCCUUUAUGGGUCAGCCUGGGAUACAAAAUUAGAGAAACUUUGCAAUGAAAAAUCCCUUGUGUCUCAUUGAACUUUUUCCUUAAUUCAAACCUUUCCUUUCACAGUUUUGAUUAGUGCCUUUGCCCAUGUGGACAAUAUUUUAUGAUCAGGUUUUAAGAGUAAUCCAUCCAUGGCUGCUUGGCUGCCUGGAACUUAAAACAACGACAACAACAAUGUCCAGAUAAACCCAAUAAAAUAGGUUUUUAAA